rnacentral:lncRNA from 1 species
UGACUCUAGGAGCCUUUCAUUCCAAAGGUGCAAGCACUCCAUUUCUCACCUUGGCUGCUUCUGAACGCUGAAUUAACACUUCUGAGUGCUCGUAAUAGCCCAAGGAGCUCAAGUUGACCAGGUUUUACUGCCAAUUUGAGAUCCAACACUGGCAGCCAGGUUUUUCCAGUGCAUCUUUGAUCAUUGGCAGAUUCUGCCUGGAGAUCCUUGCUAAGUUGUGCCUGAAACAAGUAAAGGUAAAGGUUUCAAGGAGUCUGUUCCACCUUUGAAUAUCUUCCUAGGAAAGUUGUAAUUACUUCAGUUUCAUGGUGUGUGAUGCACUGCCCAGUUUUGUCCUGACAGUUUCUUCUUAAAAACAGGAAGGAAAUAGAAAUUUUUUUAAAGCGUCACAUUGAAUGCACAUAGUGUUAAAGUGUGGUGAUGACAUGAUCACCUAAUUUAAACAAAAUAAAAAUUACAUCCUAAUUUGACUUUUGUGGGUU